GACGAACGCUGGCGGCGUGCUUAACACAUGCAAGUCGAACGGUGAAGCGCUUUCCUUUUUGGUUGGUGUGGAUGAGUGGCGAACGGGUGAGUAACACGUGAGUAACCUGCCCCCUUCUUCUGGAUAACCGCAUGAAAGUGUGGCUAAUACGGGAUAUUCUGCGCCUGCUGCAUGGUGGGUGUGGGAAAGAUUGUGCCUUUGGGUGUUUUCGGUGGGGGAUGGGCUCGCGGCCUAUCAGCUUGUUGGUGGGGUGAUGGCCUACCAAGGCGGUGACGGGUAGCCGGCCUGAGAGGGUGGACGGUCACACUGGGACUGAGACACGGCCCAGACUCCUACGGGAGGCAGCAGUGGGGAAUAUUGCACAAUGGGCGCAAGCCUGAUGCAGCGACGCCGCGUGAGGGAUGGAGGCCUUCGGGUUGUGAACCUCUUUCGCCAGUGAAGCAGGCCUGCUCCUUGUGGUGGGUUGACGGUAGCUGGAUAAGAAGCGCCGGCUAACUACG
rnacentral:rRNA from 1 species